UUGGGCAAGCUGGGCAAAAAUGUUGACUCUCAGUCCACCCUCAUGACUCUGUCUUCCUGUAAGAGACUUGGGUGUGGGAAAGCAUUAUUUUUGGUGAUUCUGGUGAAGGUAUACAAAGCAUGUUAUAUAUCAUCUCACUUAAUAUGCCUUUUGAGAGUUCUGCAAGGAGACUGAAGUGCAGGGCCCCUGCCGAGCUUUUAUCCCUAGGUGGUAUUAU